rnacentral:rRNA from 1 species
GACGAACGCUGGCGGCGUGCUUAACACAUGCAAGUCGAACGGAAAGGCGCCUUUGGGGGUACUCGUGUGGCGAAGGGGGGAGUAACACGUGAGUAACCUGCCCUUGACUUCGGGAUUACUUCAGGAAACUGGGGCUUAUACCGGCUAGGAAUCCUUGCUGGAUGGUGGGGGUUGGAAAGCUUGGGCGGUUUUGGAUGGACCCUGGUCGUAUUAGCUUGUUGGUGGGGUGUUGGCUUACCAAGGCUUUGACGGGUAGCCGGCCUGAGAGGGUGACCCGCCACAUUGGCACCGAGAUACGGCCCAGCCUGCUACGCGAGGCAGCAGGGGGGAAUAUUGCACAAUCGGCGGAACCCCGCUGCAGAACCGCCGCGUGCGGGAUGACAGCCUUCGGGUUGUAGACCGCUUUCAGCAGGGGCGAAGCCUGUGGUGACGGUACCUGCAGAAGAAGCACCGGCUAACUACGUG